AUUGAACGCUGGCGGCAUGCUUUACACAUGCAAGUCGAACGGUAACAGGCCGCAAGGUGCUGACGAGUGGCGAACGGGUGAGUAAUGCAUCGGAACGUGCCCAGUCGUGGGGGAUAACUACUCGAAAGAGUAGCUAAUACCGCAUACGAUCUAUGGAUGAAAGCGGGGGACCGUAAGGCCUCGCGCGAUUGGAGCGGCCGAUGUCAGAUUAGGUAGUUGGUGGGGUAAAGGCUCACCAAGCCAACGAUCUGUAGCUGGUCUGAGAGGACGACCAGCCACACUGGGACUUGAGACCGGCCCAGACUCCUAAGGGAGGCAGCAGUGGGGAAAUUUGGAAAAUGGGGGCAAGCCUGAUCCAGCAAUGGCGCGGGGAAGAAGAAGGCCUUCGGGGUGGAAACUGGUUUUGUUCGGAACGAAACGGCUCUGGUUAAUACCCGGGGCUAAUGACGGUACCGUAAGAAUAAGCACCGGCUAACUACGUG
rnacentral:rRNA from 1 species